CUGUGCUCUCUGGCUCUUUUCCUAAAUUAUACUCAAUUUAAGAGGAGGGAAAAGCGGAAACUGGAAGCGCAGUCCCUGUGAAUGGGAGAGUGGAUGAAGAAAAAUCUCCUUAAGGAAGAACAAGAGCAUACCCUGGGUUUACAUUGAACGUGGUUUCUGGUGGUCAUGUUUAUGAAGGGAAAUAGGAAGCUCCCAUGGGCCACAAGAACACGGCAGAAUACUGAGUCGCAAGGAGAAGAGCAAGAGAGCGUACUUCUCAUGGUAAGUCACGCCUGGAAACUUCUCUUCACCCUCUUGCACCUAUUCCACUUGGGUUCUUCUGGAUUAGUUACUACAGAGCGUUUUGUUAACUGUGUAUGUACCUUUAAAUGUUUUAAAUAGGUUUGUAGAAUAUAAUAAAAACAAGAGAAAUGUGACAGAGUUUACUAUGAAUAUAUUAUAAAGCUGAACACAAUUAGGUUUUAUUUUAAAAUCUGUAUUGAGUUUGGUGCAAACAUUAUUGCAGUUUUUGCCAUUAUUUUUAACAGCAAAAAUAGCUAUUACUUUUGCACCAACCUAAUACAAACCAUAAAUGUGACUCCCAAGACAAGGAGUAAACUCUGAGCCAGGCAAGGUGAGUUGAAUAAGAAAUUAUACCACCUGCUAUUAGAAAGAUUGGCAGGUGGUUAAACACAAACACACCUAUGUAUUUAAAUGCUAGCAUUUAAAUAUAGUGGUCUCUCCUUAUCCACGGUUUCGCUUUUCGUGGUUUCAGUGACCCACAGUGCAGUACAAUAACAUAGUUUGAGGCAGAGAAAGAGGGGCCAUUCACAGGACUUUUAUGCAGUGUAUUGUUACAAUUGUUAGUUACUGGGAUAUUUUACUAUUAUUGUUUUACUAUUAGUUACCGUUAUUUUUUUAUUUUAUUAUUAGUCACAAUUUUUUAUCAUUUUUUAUUAUUGUUUUAGUUACUCUUGUUCAUCUCUUACUUUGCCUGACUUUAAACUAAACUUUGUCAUAGGUAUGUAGGCACAGGGAAACACAGCACAAACAAGGCCCAGCACGAGUCUUGGUUUGGCAUCACUGGGAGUCUGGGAAUAUGUCCCUGAGGGUCAGGGGCUCCUGUUCAAGCCCAUAUCCCCUCAGAGGCAGCCAUCAUUUAAAACAAGAAUCGCAGAUGACAACCCCAUAAUACUAGAGAAAUAAAGCCUGAUGCUAAUUUAUCACUUUCUCCGAU
rnacentral:lncRNA from 1 species